CGUAUGAAGUUGGCAACACUUACAGAAUUAAUGUCGUAUAGAGGGCGCAGUAACCGCGUAUUUUGAGAAACGGCAGGAGGAGAAUAAUUAAUACUAUUAAAGAUGUCUCUGGCCGACGAACUGUUAGCGGAUUUGGAAGAUGCAGGAGAUAAUGAUGACGAACAGUUUUUUCAUCAGGAUGCCAACAUCCAGGAAGUGGACGAUAUUGCCAUGGAACCCGAAAUUACUUUGAUGUCGGUUCGUGCCAUAGCAAAAUUAAGAGACAGCGAAGAAGUA